rnacentral:rRNA from 1 species
GACGAACGCUGGCGGCGUGCUUAACACAUGCAAGUCGAACGGAAAGGCCCUGCUUUUGUGGGGUGCUCGAGUGGCGAACGGGUGAGUAACACGUGAGUAACCUGCCCUUGACUUUGGGAUAACUUCAGGAAACUGGGGCUAAUACCGGAUAGGAGCUCCUGCUGCAUGGUGGGGGUUGGAAAGUUUCGGCGGUUGGGGAUGGACUCGCGGCUUAUCAGCUUGUUGGUGGGGUAGUGGCUUACCAGGGCUUUGACGGGUAGCCGGCCUGAGAGGGUGACCGGCCACAUUGGGACUGAGAUACGGCCCGGACUCCUACGGGAGGCAGCAGUGGGGAAUAUUGCACAAUGGGCGGAAGCCUGAUGCAGCAACGCCGCGUGCGGGAUGACGGCCUUCGGGUUGUAAACCGCUUUCGCCUGUGACGAAGCGUGAGUGACGGUAAUGGGUAAAGAAGCACCGGCUAACUACGUG